UUCCCCCACGCUGCACCCAAGCCUCCCUCCCGCUCCCAGCUUUUCUUCCUCCUCCGCCGCCUCUAGGGUUUCUUUCCCCGAUCCACUCCUUCCUUGCCGCCGCCACCUCCGGCGCCCGAUCCUGGCGACCUCGGGCGGGAAUCGAAGACCCAUGUCCGGCGAGAUCCGGCGCGCGCCCGAGCCCAAGCGAUGAGGUGGUCCAAAUCAUGCACGGGGACGCAGCGGGGGACCCGACGGUGGUCACCGUCAGCUGCGCGGACAAGACCGGCCUGGGCUGCGACCUCUGCCGCCUCGUCGUCCUCUUCGGCCUUAACGUCCACAAGGGCGACAUGAGCACCGACGGCCGCUGGUGCUACAUCAUGCUCUGGUUCGCCGCCUCGCGCCGGGGCCGGGCCGUGGACUGGGACGUCCUCAAGGAGCGGCUGGUGGAGCUUCGUCCGCACCGCGCUGGAGCAGACCCGCCUCCGCACCGCCCUCACGCCCCACCCCUCGCAGGAAAAGUUCAGGCUCAUACGAGCCAACGACGAUGCGACUGUUUUGGAUGCUCUCUCCUUCAGCGCUCUCAAAAUUAGACUGCUUCGCAGCUUGACGGUUGAGAAGAAAAACUAUGUUCAGGAUCCCUCUUUGGUCGACAUGCAUGAGGAGGAGGAAAUUGUCUCCCCACACAAGGAGGAUGCCUGAGCUGACCAGGAGGACACCCUCGUCCACCCCGGCCACCACACAUGGGCGAGGCCGGUGAUGUCUGUGCGGUGAUGUCCCUGGGGUGGCGCCACUGUGCUCGACGCUUGCCCUGGUCGCCACGGUGGUGCUUCGGCGGCUUCCAGACCCUCUCCUCGAUGUGGUGAUGGUCACACCACAGCCGUGGUGUGCCCGAGCCUCUGCUACGAUUACAACCUUCCUUUGGUGAGGUCCUCCCCGUCCUUCUUCUCUGAUGUAGCUCCUGCAUGGCCUUGGCCAUGAUUUGGGUUGGAUGUGGGGCUCUGCUAGUUGCUGCUAGAUGCUGUAACCAAGCAUCAACUCCUACUGGAGCUCUCUGGUGAUAAAUUCAUGCGGUUCUAGGGUCUGUCAGUAGCUGCCCAUGUGUACUUGCUUUAUAUAUGUGCUCCUGUGAUGCUCUAGUGGUAUGGGGUUGCUCUGGAUUUGCUAAGAUGGUUAGGAGCAGUGCUUAAUCUGUUGUUUGCUCCUAUGUGGC